UAAGCCCCUCCAGGGUAAGUGGAAGUUGGUGGACCCCAGCACAUGUGAUCCGUUCCUGGCACAUGUCUGAGGACCACCCGCUUGUCUUGGGGAGACCCUCCCGCCGAGU
rnacentral:pre_miRNA from 1 species